rnacentral:rRNA from 1 species
UACGUAGGGUGCAAGCGUUGUCCGGAAUUAUUGGGCGUAAAGAGCUCGUAGGCGGUCUGUCGCGUCUGCUGUGAAAACUCGGGGCUUAACCCCGGGCCUGCAGUGGGUACGGGCAGACUAGAGUGCGGUAGGGGAGACUGGAAUUCCUGGUGUAGCGGUGAAAUGCGCAGAUAUCAGGAGGAACACCGGUGGCGAAGGCGGGUCUCUGGGCAAUAACUGACGCUGAGGAGCGAAAGCGUGGGGAGCGAACAGG